AUUGAACGCUGGCGGCAGGCCUAACACAUGCAAGUCGAACGAGUGGCGGACGGGUGAGUAAUGUCUGGGCAACUGCCCGAUGGAGGGGGAUAACUACUGGAAACGGUAGCUAAUACCGCCUACCAUCCGAUGUACCCAGCUGGGAUUAGCUAGUAGGUGGGGUAACGGCUCACCUAGGCGACGAUCCCUAGCUGGUCUGAGAGGAUGACCAGCCACACUGGGACGGAGACACGGUCCAGACUCCUACGGGAGGCAGCAGUGGGGAAUAUUGCACAAUGGGCGCAAGCCUGAUGCAGCCAUGCCGCGUGUAUGAAGAAGGCCUUCGGGUUGUAAAGUACUUUCAGCGGGGAGGCGUUACUCGCAGAAGAAGCACCGGCUAACUCCGUGCCAGCAGCCGCGGUAAUAC
rnacentral:rRNA from 1 species